AGGGUGCAGGGCGGAUGCCUUGGCACUAGGAGCCGAUGAAGGACGUGAUAAGCUGCGAUAAGCUUCGGGGAGUUGCACGUAAACUUUGAUCCGAAGAUUUCCGAAUGAGGAAACUCACUUAGAGUAAUGUCUAAGUAUCGUUGAGUGAAUACAUAGUCAUAGCGAGGGGAACCCGGGGAACUGAAACAUCUAAGUACCCGGAGGAAGAGAAAGAAAUCUCGAUUCCGUAAGUAGCGGCGAGCGAACGCGGAACAGGCCAAACCAAUGAAGUUUACUUCGUUGGGGUUGCGGACAUACAACAUGGAUGCAAUAUCGUAAAUGAAGAGAGUUGGAAAGCUCCGCCAUAGAAGGUAAUAGCCCUGUAGUUGAAACGAGAAAGCUACUAGUAUGAUCCAGAGUACCACGGGACACGUGAAACCCUGUGGGAAGCAGGGGGACCAUCCUCCAAGCCUAAAUACUACCUAGUGACCGAUAGCGCAUAGUACCGUGAGGGAAAGGUGAAAAGAACCCCGGGAGGGGAGUGAAAGAGAACCUGAAACCCUGCACUUACAAGCUGUGGGAGCACAUUACUUGUGUGACCGCGUACUUUUUGUAGAACGGGCCAACGAGUUACGUUAAGUAGCAAGGUUAAGCACUUAAGGUGUGGAGCCGUAGCGAAAGCGAGUCUUAAAUGGGCGAUUAAGUUACUUGGCGUAGACCCGAAACCGGGCGACCUAUCCAUGAGCAGGUUGAAGCGAAAGUAAAAUUUCGUGGAGGACCGAACCCACGAGCGUUGAAAAGCUCGGGGAUGACUUGUGGAUAGCGGUGAAAUUCCAAUCGAGCCCGGAGAUAGCUGGUUCUCCCCGAAAUAGCUUUAGGGCUAGCCUCAAGCGUAGAGAAACGGAGGUAGAGCACUGAAUGUCCUAGGGGGUAUUGCACUUACCGAAGACUAUCAAACUCCGAAUGCCGUUUUCUUUUACUUGGGAGUCAGACUGUGGGUGAUAAGAUUCAUAGUCAAAAGGGCAACAGCCCAGAUCGUCAGCUAAGGUCCCUAAAUGUACGUUAAGUGGUAAAGGAUGUGGGAUUGCACAGACAACCAGGAUGUUGGCUUAGAAGCAGCCACUCAUUUAAAGAGUGCGUAAUAGCUCACUGGUCGAGUGAUCCUGCGCCGAAAAUUUCCGGGGCUAAAACGUACUACCGAAGCUACGGCAUCAUUUAUGAUGGGUAGGGGAGCUUCGUAUGCAGGCUGAAGCAUGACCGUAAGGACAUGUGGACAGUAUACGAGUGAGAAUGUUGGCAUGAGUAGCGAGACGUGGGUGAGAAUCCCACGGGCCGUAAACCCAAGGUUUCCAGGGGAAGGUUCGUCCGCCCUGGGUUAGUCGGGACCUAAGCCGAGGCCGAAAGGCGUAGGUGAUGGACAACAGGUUGAUAUUCCUGUACCGCCAAUAAGCGUUUGAGAGAUGGAGUGACACAGUAGGAUAAGCUAACCGUACUGUUGGUUAUGUACGGCUAAGCAUUGAGGCAGUCUAAAUAGGCAAAUCCGUUUAGACAAUGCUAGGAUGUGAUGGGGAAGCCCUUCGGGGCGAAGUAGCUGAUUUCACACUGUCAAGAAAAGCUUCUAUCGAGUUUAAAGGCGCCCGUACCGUAAACCGACACAGGUGGGUGAGGAGAGUAUCCUAAGGCCAGCGAGAGAACUAUUGUUAAGGAACUCGGCAAAAUGACCCCGUAACUUAGGGAGAAGGGGUGCCUGUCUAUGACAGGCCGCAGAGAAUAGGCCCAAGCGACUGUUUACCAAAAACACAGGUUUCUGCUAAGUCGCAAGACGAUGUAUAGGAGCUGACGCCUGCCCGGUGCUGGAAGGUUAAGGGGAUCUGUUAGAGCAAUCGAAGCAGUGAACUUAAGCCCCAGUAAACGGCGGCCGUAACUAUAACGGUCCUAAGGUAGCGAAAUUCCUUGUCGGGUAAGUUCCGACCCGCACGAAAGGCGUAACGAUUUGGGCACUGUCUCAACAAUAGACUCGGUGAAAUUGUAAUCCCGGUGAAGAUGCCGGGUACCUGCGACAGGACGGAAAGACCCCAUGGAGCUUUACUGUAGCUUGACGUUGGGUCUUGGUACUACAUGUACAGGAU
rnacentral:rRNA from 1 species